ACUGAUUCCUGGUUAACCCAAUAGUAGUGUUGUCUUCCUUUUUCCCCUCAUUGUUGUGUGCAGAGGUCAUAGAAUUAACCUGCCUAUUUCUAGUAAAUUGGAAGUUAGCAUGGAAUCCAUGAAGUCUAUAGCAUACGUCAAUGGUGUGUCCUAGCUUCUUGCAGUGAGUACAAUAUUUUCCAGGGUUUGAUGAUUUGUUCCAAGAUCCUUUACUCUGUGUUCUUCCUCCAAUCUGUGUCGAUGUUCAUGGCUUUUGCCUCUAUCUCAUAUCCAUAGAGUUGUGUUUCUUGUUGAACCACUAAGGAGAACACCUUGCUCAUGCUUGG